rnacentral:rRNA from 1 species
GGUUGUCGUCAGCUCGUGUCGUGAGAUGUUGGGUUAAGUCCCGCAACGAGCGCAACCCUCGCCUCUAGUUGCCAGCAUUCGGUUGGGCACUCUAGAGGGACUGCCGGCGACAAGUCGGAGGAAGUGGGGAUGACGUCAAAUCAUCAUGCCCCUUAUGACCUGGGCUACACACGUGCUACAAUGGGCGGUACAAAGGGCUGCGAACCCGCGAGGGGGAGCGAAUCCCAAAAAGCCGCUCUCAGUUCGGAUUGCAGGCUGCAACUCGCCUGCAUGAAGCCGGAAUCGCUAGUAAUCGCGGAUCAGCAUGCCGCGGUGAAUACGUUCCCGGGCCUU